AAGAUCUUCGAUUUGUUCUGAUUGGUGGGUUGCCGCUGAAUGAGCCGAUCGUGCAAUAUGGACCGUUUGUGAUGAACACCAAUGCAGAGAUUGAGAUGGCUAUUAAGGACUACCAACUUUGCAGGAAUGGAUUUGAAAAUGCCAGGCACUGGAAGUCUGGAAGUCUUAGUAAAUAAGAUGACAAAAUCAUUAAAAUGUCACUAAUCACUUGUUAAUUAAUUAUCAUCAUCGUUUAAUAAGUGGUCGAAUAAAUAAAAUAAGAUAAUAAAAUCAUUAAAAUAUCACUUCUUAAUUCUUAUUUCUCAAUUAAUCAUAUGUUUAAUUCUAUUCGACUAAAUUAUGUCUUAUGAAUUAUGAUAUCUGUAUUUUCUGUUUGUUGGGUGGGUGGGUGAAAAAGGAUUAAACAAGUAAUUAAUACCUUGAUUUCGUCCUCACCAUAUAACUUUUGCACCAACUGAUCAUAUUCAAAAGCAAUUCCUGUGAUUCCGGUGAUGAAACGCAAAUUGAGAACCUGUUUGUUUAGAUUUUGUACUUCAUCUUUCAGUUGUUUUAUCUUUUGAAUCUUGAACUCUUUCUUCUUUGAAGGAGUCUAUGACCUUCUUCAAAUUAAAAACCUUUGGAUUGGACGCAGUAAUGAAGCCGAUGGAUCAUGAUGUGAAUCCUGUGAAAACACCAGAAAAUUUCCAAGUAUUUUUUCAAAAAAGUUGGAGAAUAAUGAUUAAUGAGUAUUAUUUUCAGAGUCUGAUGUUUUGAACUCAAGCUCCCAUUUCUUCCCAAUAACCAAUCCUAAAUUAAGGAAACAAAACAUAAAAACAAGAAGAAAGGAAAGUGAGAAUUUAAAUCAACAAUCAAAUAUGUAUGUGGGAUACUCUAUUCUUGAUUAAUCAUUUAAGCAAACCAAAAUGAUAAACGAGGAGAUAAGUUCUCCACAACACUUGAUCUAUGGGAGUGAUGGGUCCAGGUUUAGUACCCUUAUUCUGACUGAAUCCUAAGAAUACUCCAACCACUAGACAGAAGUAAGAUCAACAUGGUGUAGCUCAAAGUCUUCAAAGUAGCAAGACCUCUCCCGAUCUUAAACUCAUCCAAACCUUUCAUCACACAACAGAUCUCUGAUUGGCCCAAUUUACCAGGAGAAGCAACGACACUGCUACUAUUCCAAAUAAAACCAGAUAUAGCAAAGAAAUCAUUUCUAAACUCUAAAGAUGCUAUUUAGUGGCUACAAUGCAAUGAACGAUAGAAAUAAGGGUACCUAAUCAUGAUGGGUUUUGUCUGACUUUCAUUCUUUCUGAAAGAAAAAAAAACUUCACAUCUCUUCUUUUUUCAAGGAUAAAAUUUCAUUAGAAAUGAUAUAGAUCAUGUAUGUAGGUCUUGGCAGUAGACGGAUUUCCGCCAUCUAAAACUUUUCAAUUCGCGCCAAAAUUUUCAGAUUAGAUGGCGGAAAUCCGCCAUCUAUACUAUUUUUGGUGGGAAAUGGGGAUGGAUAAUAGAUGACGG
rnacentral:lncRNA from 1 species